rnacentral:sRNA from 1 species
CGUGUUUUGCUGUGUGGUAUAUUAGAUACGUAUUUCAGCAACGUAUCUAAUAUACCGCACAGCAAAACACA